rnacentral:rRNA from 1 species
GACGAACGCUGGCGGCGUGCCUAAUACAUGCAAGUAGAACGCACAGUUUAUACCGUAGCUUGCUACACCAUAGACUGUGAGUUGCGAACGGGUGAGUAACGCGUAGGUAACCUGCCUGGUAGCGGGGAUAACUAUUGGAAACGAUAGCUAAUACCGCAUAAUAUUAAUUAUUGCAUGAUAAUUAAUUGAAGGGUGCAAUUGCACCACUACCAGAUGGACCUGCGUUGUAUUAGCUAGUAGGUGAGGUAACGGCUCACCUAGGCGACGAUACAUAGCCGACCCGAGAGGGUGAUCGGCCACACUGGGACUGAGACACGGCCCAGACUCCUACGGGAGGCAGCAGUAGGGAAUCUUCGGCAAUGGACGAAAGUCUGACCGAGCAACGCCGCGUGAGUGAAGAAGGGUUUCGGAUCGUAAAGCUCGGUUGUAAGAGAAGAACGGGUGUGAGAGUGGAAAGUUCACACUGUGACGGUAUCUUACCAGAAAGGGACGGCUAACUACGUG